GGACUACACGGGUAUCUAAUCCCGUUCGCUCCCCUAGCUUUCGCCCCUCAGCGUCAGGUACCAGCCAGGACACUGCCUUCGCCUUUGGUGUUCUUCCGGAUAUCUACGCAUUUCACCACUACACCCGGAGUUCCAUGUCCCUCUCUGGUCCUCAAGUCCGUCCGUCUUCGCACCGCUCUCCCAGUUAAGCCAGGAGCUGUCGGUGCAAACUGCACGGACCGCCUGCGGGCGCUUUACGCCCAGUAACUCCGGACAACGCUUGUCCCCUACGUAUUACCGCGGCUGCUGGCAC
rnacentral:rRNA from 1 species